rnacentral:rRNA from 50 species
UGGUGCGAAUUCUCUUUGACUAGGGAUCCAAAGAGGGUGCUAGACCCUUACGCAUUGUUGACUUUUCGUACGCGUUCGUUUCUUGGAGUAGGGUUGUUUUGGAUCGCAGCCCAAAGUAGGUGGUAUACUUCAUCUAAAGCUAAAUACGACUACGAAUCCGAUAGCAAACAAGUACCGUGAGGGAAAGUUGCAAAGUACUUUGAAGAGAGAGUUCAAGAGGACGUGAAACCGGUAGGGUGGAAGCAGAUAAAGUUGACGAACGUGUGUCGUAUUCAGAACUACAAUUUGUGGUUUGUUUUUACGAUCGAUGUGGGCUGGCGUCUUUGGUUAACUUAGUGUCUGGCGGCAAUGGUGACCCUGCGGAGGGAUAAUCGGUUGUCGUGCGAUGCUUGGUAUGGCUAGAGGUUCGCUGGUCUUAUAGUCAUCGCUUUAUCUGACCCGUCUUGAAACACGGACCAAGGAGUGUAGCGCUUACGCGAGUCUUAGAGUGUGUCAAAACUUUGAGGCGUAACGAAAGUAAAUGUGGAUUUAUUCACUGACUUGGGAUGCGUUGUCUUUUUUGGAUAGCGUUGGACCAUGGUUUUAUCGUAAUCGCUUGCGAUGCG